GCCGGAGUGGCGGAACUGGCAGACGCAUGGGACUUAAAAUCCCAGGUCCGUAAGGGCGUGAGGGUUCGAGUCCCUCCUCCGGCACCA
rnacentral:tRNA from 1 species